rnacentral:snoRNA from 1 species
GUGCAGGAUAAGUUACAAUGCAGCUGGUUUGGUACUGCUUUGUCGUUCCCCCUGCAAACAAUAACUUGUUUCCAGCUAUCCCUGUCUGUCUACAUCCUUGGACAACCAGGGACGCAAGGUUUCAGACAC